CUUAAGGGAGACACUCCAGCAGUAGCAGAAGGGGACCAGAUGAGCUGCGCCUUUGCAAUUUCUAAUUUGUACAGGAGGAAUCUUGGGAAUAUACCUAUUCCUUCUGCCAGUUUGGAUUGAGGGUCCUAGCCCCUUGUGCUGUGGAGUAGGUGGUCAGGAAAUGUGUUUGAAUUACCAGCUCAUUUAAGGUGUGCCAUGAGACUACAGCAGGUCAUUAGUCAAUCUGUAAUGUGUGUGACAUUAGCCAGAAGUAAAUUAGAGGCCAAAUAACCCCUAAUGAAUGAGUGUGACUCAAAUUUCACAGUGAAAAUACACUGAGCACAUAGUAUUGGACUUCCAGCAAUGAGCAAGAAGUAUUACUGCAAUUCUCCAAAGGGACCACGUGAGUUAAGAGGUGCAGACAGCCUGAAUUGGUGAUGAGGUGCAGGUGGAGAGGAUCAGGCCCCUGGGUGCCUCACCAGCUGGAAGCAGUAAAGGGGCUAGCUGAGAGAGCAUAAGGGAGGUGGUUGGGGUGGCUUUAAUAGUUGGGAGGAAGAAAGGAUGACUGGAUGGGUCUUGCUUGUUAAAGCUGAAGGAUUGGGUUUUGGUUUUUGUUUGUUUUGUCUUUGUUUGAGGAAGGCUUGGAAUGGGUGAUGUGUUAAGGAGCUGGAAAGACCUGUGCAAGCCCAGGUUGCAGGGGCCUGACUAGUUCUCAGACCUUCAGAGCCAGGUGGACAGUAUCUCUGCUUACUGCCUCGCAGCUUGAAGUCAGGCCUGAACUGCUGAAGUGGGAGUUGCAGAAUAGGCUUUUGAAGCUGGGUGAAGAGACCUGGGAAGUCUGCAGUCUGCUGGAGGCUGGAAACUUCAUGGAACAGACUGACCAAAGAAUUGUCAGCUGUUGCUUAACUAAGGCAGUGGAAGAUGGACAGCCAUCCCAGGUGCCUUUGUAACAAGAGACCAGUCGCAUGCAACUGCUCUUCUCUCCAGCAGUGGGCCAGCCACCUGUUCCCCAAACCUUGGGACUUGUCAGGCUGUGAAGAGAUGAGCCUGCAGCCCUUCAGGGAUCAGGACUUCUUUUGCAGGCUUGGACAAAGACUUAAGGUACAGUCAUGGCUCCCAUAAUUGCCACCCCUCAGUGGAGAAAAGGAGCAGGUGACCUGUUCAGUCUGAUGCCUUAUUGUUACAUGCCAAAGCAAGAGAACACAUGCUUGUUGCAGUGCAUGUCCAGCAACCCACAAGUGCACAACAAAUUCUCACUUGCACCAACUGGGGAAACUUGGGAGGGAGGUAGCACGCACUGGCAGCAGCUGGCUUAGAAUCUGGGAAGUUCUCGAACUUUCCCUUGUAGUCUGUGCCCUGUGUUUAGAGACAGCUUGUUCCAGUACCAUCGCAAAGGCUGUGACCUGUUUUUAUUGACAUUGCUUGGUUUCCCUGGAACCUCUUGGAACUGAAGCAAAGCAGUUCUUGUAUGGAUUGUGAAGGUGUCAGUUAGGUGGGGUUUUCACCUUUCUGAGCAAGAUGCAGAACCUUUCCUUCCAGAACUGUAUCUUUCCCCACACCAUCGUGGAACGCUGCUGCUGCUGUUGCCUGCACCUAUUGUGUGUUCUUCUCGCCUCUGACUUAUGGUCCAUGCUGGCAAAGCUGCUAGAAUUAUGGAAAAGAAAAAAGCUUUGUUCCAAGGAACUGGACACGUGGGUAGAUAUAUUUUCCUCUAACAGAUGCAUCUGGUUAGAUCAGUUGCUGUUACUAAGGCUUUCAAGCCAAAGGCAUGAUGCUGUGUAUUGGGAUGGUCUACUUAAGUAUGCCAUCAUUUAGGCCGUUUGCUCUAUUUGCUUUGGCUUAGUUGGAUGAGUUGAUUUAUUCCUUUCCUUGACUGAUGAAACAACGGUAAUAUCUGUAAGGCUCACUUGGUAUCCUAGAAACAGUUUGGAUGCCUCCUGCUUGAGCCAUGCUAUUGUAGUAUGGCUUAAGAAUUGCGAAUGGCCAUGAUGGGCCCGAAGGGAGGAUUACCAUAUGGAGUUAGCAAGAACACCUUAUCACUUGGAGACUAACUGGCUAUUUAUAUAAAAAUAGGUGGUGGGGUACUACAGCUGUUGCCUUCAGCUACUAUUAACACGUUCCGAGAGACAACUCCUUGUUCCUCGUCUAGCGCAUUACUGUUGCCCUCAACCAAGAGACUUCCUUCCUUUUUUUUUUUUUUUUUUUUUUUCCCCAGGCUAUGGCUUGGUAGUGUGUAGAUUAUGCUGCUCUAGAUUAGCAUAAGCACAUAGUAUCCCCAAUACCAACUUGUGCAAGGUCCACUGUCUGCACCUGUCAUUGUGUGGCUCCAGUUACUGACCACAGCUCUGGCCUGCACAUCAGCAACCAGCUCCAGGAUCCAGAAACUGGACUGUUCAGUCUUCCCUAAGGCAGUGAGAUCUGGUGGGUUCCAGGUUAUCCUGCACAGUCCCUGCAGGAGAGACUGCCUACUAUGGUGGUGUCCUCAAUGGUGAAGGCUGCUGCCUGUCAAUGUGAUCUACAGACCUGCCUCGGGGACCCUUGCUGCCAGUUACCCUCAAGCUGUCUGCCAAGCUAAGCUCCUGCUGGAAGAGGUGGAGGUUAGAGCAGGACAUGGACUACAGCUCCAGACCAAGACCGCACUGAGUCCAGCUAACGAAGUGGGACCCAGACGGCCUUGUGCUGAUGUCUCUGGCCACCUGAUGGAAGUUCUGGCUGCAUGGCCAAGUCCUGGAAGAAGGUAAUGACCUGGCUCAUCCACAAAAACAGUGAGCCUGACCAUGUGCAUCCCUGAAGGGCCCAUCACCCUUUGCUCCACCAUAUUUAAAUGUAAACAAUAUGCUGGGCCACAACACAGCUCAGAUCAUGGACUGGGCAGUGAAUGGGUGGAUUGUAGCCUGAACCAGAAAGCUUUCAUGUCCAGCGAGGGCUGUUGAAUGCACCUUGGCUGCUGAUGACCCAUGACAGCACCCAGACAGCAAGGUGUCCACGUGGAGGUCAGUGCAGGCCUCUGGCUCAGUGCCUCAGCCAUGCGUCUUCCAGGAGCUGGGAUAUCAGGCCAGAUGUCCACACAUGGUCCCCAAGGCCUACAACAGCUACACUGUCACUUCCUGAUCAUAAUGGUGAAAUGCUGUUCCGAACUUGAAAUGAGGCUGCCUCCCAAGUCCCACCAUUGGAGGCUUACUAAGGGCCCAGGACCAAAAGCUAAACCUCCUGGCUUCUGAGGGUGACUUGAUGAACUCCUGAAGGUGCUGGACAACCGCUGUGAGGCAGCUGACUGAACAGAGCUUUUGUUCCCCUCCAGUCCAAGGUGCCCAUAUACAUCAUCACCUCUGGAAAGAGAAACUUAUGGCCCCCAGUAACAGGAUCCUGGGUGAGCCCAUGAGAUACAUGAAGGGUAGUGAGGCUUACCUCAGCCUUGGCUCAGACAUGGAUCACUGUGCAAAUGGAUGUGGGAGAACAUCAUGCUGGGGACCAGUUAGGAUGCCUACCAAUUGGACUAAUCUGUGGGUACCCUGGAAGAAGAUGCAGGGAGUACCUUGUCUCUGGCUGCAGCUUUUGGCCCUGUUCCAUCUUGACAGCGGCUUCCAGUUCCAGUACCAACCCCCUGAUACCCCCAGUCCCUAGGAAACCACUUUGGACUGCCCUCCAUGCUUCAAGUAUCCAAUCAUUAGGCCAGACCACCAAUGCCUCAGUCCCAACCUUUUACCUGGACCAGUCUUUUUGGAGCUGUGGGGCAGGACCCAAAGUAGAAAUACAAACUCCGUUCUGCCCGAGAAUCCCUGCAAGCCCUCCAACCCCCUGAAUCCCAAGAAAUGAUUGCCCAUCUCCAGCAGGCAGUUCAGCAGCUCCAGGCACUGUUUGAACAGCUAGAGGGGAAAAACCAGAGCUGUUGGACUGCCUGGAAGGGGCACAGGCUAAAGCUGGAGCCUGGCAAAUGCUGAGCAAAACCAUCCCCAAGAGAUGAAGCAACAAUCGAGCCUUGGCUGGGGCCCUGCUGUCAGAAGACUGCUGCUGCUACCACAAGUCCCACUCCCAGUGCACUUGAGCCAGAUCCAAAGAAGUGUUUUGGGAUUCCUGGGUCAGUGUUGCCUGCUCUUUCCACUGUGCCCCAUCAUCUGUUCCACAGACCAGGCCAAGAUGGGAUUAAUGAUUGGCCUGCUUGCAGGGAGAAGUCCUGACCCGGGCUUCCUUGCUCCUCGAGGGCUUCAGUCUUUCAAAUGUCCAUCCAAGCCUUACAGGGAAGAAGUCCCAUAGGCACCUGCCCACCCCUUGCAGUUCAUCUCUGCCAAAAUAGCCCCCUAAAAUCUUCAGCAUGGCAGCCAGCUAAAGCCCACAGUGGCUCGCAUUCAGUGGUAGGCCCCUGGCCUCAAGUGGAAUGAGGUGAUUGAAGUUGUGGCAAUUCUGCCAGAGGCUUAGUGAGGAGCUGAAGGAUGAACUUGUUCCUGUUGAGUCCCCUGCUUGCUUGGGGCCCUUGACUGAGCUCUUUGUGGAUCUACCACUGCCUUCCAGAGGAGUGUGUGGAAAAGAUGGCCAUGAGAGGGGACCCCACACCACAAUCCCAGGUCUCCUGGUGCCCCAGGAAGAUCUACUGCUCUAGAAAUCCAGGGAACUGUAUCUGUGGGAGACCUAGAACAACCAGCUGUGAGCUUUGGGCCUCUGCUAGUCUUGUGGAGCACAAGGACCUUGCCCAUGCCAUCUGGUUAGCAGUACAGCUGUCAGUCCUUGUGGGCUUGGGUGCUAUGGACAACUUAAUGGACAAGUGUUUCUGCAAAGAGAGGUGCCUCCUAGUGAGGCACAGGGUGAACCCCAUUACAAUGGAGUAGUCCAUUGUGGGCAUCCUACUCAACUUGGAUCCGGUAACUUGGGACAUUUGUUUUGGCUGCAUGGGGUGCUUACCUGUACUGUAUCAGUCUUGGGCCCUCUGUUCAUGUCCAACAUGUGGGAUUUCCUGUCCCUUUUGGGGGUAGAGCAGGAGCUCUAGUCUGUCUGACACUGGCAGACAAGGCAGAACCAGGUGCUGGAGCAAUGCUAAAUGAGGCUUCCUUAACUGCCAUCACCACGACUGGCUUGUGCUCCUGCCCGUGCCUAAAUCUGCAUACAACAACUUGGAUCUGUCAUCCAGCCAGUGCAGCCCCUUGAUGCCAAGUGUGGGUUUCAUCCCUACUUCCCCACAGUCCUGUCCAACAUCUCCACCCAUGUAGUCACAGAACUGGGAACCCACUUGCAGUGUAUAAAUGAUGACUUGAAGUACCACCACUAGCCUGCCAAGGAGGUCUAGUUUUAGGCUACAAACAGUGCUCGGGGGGGCUCCACAUCCAUUGUAGGAGUAAAGAAUCGCUCUCUUCCUAAUACCUGAAAGCCACCUCUCAACUCUGACAAGCAAGAUCUUGGGUAUCUAGGACUCUAUGCCAUCUCUGCAGUCACCAACAUGGUGUCCUUCUGCUUGUAGCUAUCUGAUGUUCUGCGUGCCCACCCUGUCUUCUACAUCUCCCUGGCAAAUCUAUGCACAAAGACAACCUAUUCCUGGCAGUCCCCAAACCAUCCUCUUUGGCUGGGGGCAUAAGGAAUUCCAACUCAAAAAAUCACCAUUGACAACCAAAAGUUAGGGAGGAAAUGGUAUUAAUGUGUUUGACUGGCAAGGUUAUGGACUGGCAGACUAUUUCUAGCAACCUGCAGAAAAUGCAUGAGCCCCUGACCUAGUACGAGCCUUCUAUCAGAGCCUCCCAAAGAAGGCUAGCCCAAAAGCCCCCACUUCUAGCACAAUGCCUGGAUAUACUGUAAGGAGGCCAGAUCAGGGCCCUGGACUUGCAGGUUCUCAAUCUGAUCUUAUCUCCUGAGCAGGUGGCAUCUCAGCAAGGUCAGAGCAGAAGCCUGGUCCCACCUGGGCUCAAUGAGGCCAUCCAGGCAGUCAAGCUCCUGAAGCCACUUCCUAGUCUAACAGAAGCCAGACCAGAAACGGUAGGCCUCUGCUGGCUUUUGUCAUACUCUCAGUGGUUCCUGGCCCAUCCCUGUGGAUGGCAUUUUUAAAAGGUUGAUUUGAGAGGGAGAGAGUGAAGACAAGGGUGGAGAGUGGCACAGGAGUGGUCAUGUUUUUAUUUAUAUUUUAGAUGGUGCCCAAGAUGUUUUACCCUCGAGCUUUACUGACCACUUCAUGCUAAAAGGGGUGGUGAGUAUGGAGAAAUGUUGUGUAAUGAUGGGUCUUCUGGAAAUACAAAUAUGUGGUUGGAGGAGUGUAGGGGCUGUAGAGAGCUCUUGUAAGGGGUGGCGGGCACUGUAAAUCUGUGUUAGGAAUAUGUGGGAAUGGUGGCGCACAGUGCUGACGUCUCAGCAGUAUGUGCAUAGUGCUGAAGGAAAGGAACUGAGCAGUUUGUCAUGAGAGCGGGUGGUAGAGGAUGAGGUCAAGGAGGGAGAGCUUGAGGUGAAUUUGUGCUCCAGUGCCUCUUAAUGCCUGUGGAGUGGGGCAGGGCAUUCGGGACUGACCUGGAUGUCAUCAAGAGGGCCACAGGAAAGGCUUGGUUUGUUUUAUUCAUGUCCCGUGAACAGAGAGGGCUGGUCUUGCUACUGUUGGAUAGGUGUAAGGACUUGGCUGUUAAAAGGGUGCAGCAGUGCACUAGACUGCUGAGGGAAGUUGUGGAGCCUUCAUCACUGGGGGUGUUGAAAAAGAGGUCGGGUAAACAUUGAUCAGGAAUGAUCUAGGAGUAACUGUGCCUAUGCUUUACUCUGCUUGUGUCUCAUGAGGCAACCAGUGAAGCCCAGAAGCAUGAGGCUGGGAAAGACUCUUUUCUUUGUCCUUUGCUGUGUGUUGUGGUAGGCAUAUUCCUUCCUCAGGAGCGCUGAGCGACUGUCACCAAGGCUGGAGACUGCCAAUACUCCUUCCUCAAGUAAAACCUGUAGGUUCCUGGCUAGAGGGACUUGCCCCUUUGCUCAGGGUCAAGCUGGUCACCCAGUUUGAGGUCAGGAAGAAGUUUUACCCCUUGGUCAGAUGGGUACAGAUUGUGGGGAUGAGUGCCUUCUUGUAGCAGGGGCAUGGACCUCUUCCUUGUGUGCCAUUCAGCAUCUUUUAACAACCCUUGCAGAAGGAGGACAUGGGUUACUAUUGCCACAGGCGAAGCAAAAGGACAUCUUGGGGUCGUAUGAUUUGUGGGUGUGUGACAAUGCCAUUGGUUUAGUUCUAGUAGUAAUAUGGUGCUGUGGGUAGAGAUGACCCUGCCUUGGGCAGGGACUGGACUAGAGGACCUCUUGUGGUCCCUGCCAGCUCUGUCUUUCCGUCUUUUGAGGAAGAAGUGGUACCCUGAUCAGAAUGCCCCUGUGGAGAAGGGGAUGAUCUGUGGAAGCCAUGCAAAGAUUUCACCAUGGGAUGUUGAGAGGAGGGAUGUGGGCAUGGUAAUGCAGCCAUCUUAAUGGUGAUCCCUACUGUGCCUUCAGGUUAUUCCUGCUGCCUCGCUGUUCGCUGCUCUUUGCCUUAAUGCUCUUUCUAAUGACAUGCCCCGUGACUUGUUUCUUGCUAGAGGAUGUUUUGAUCUUCAUGUAGGCUGUACAGCACGCUUUCUGCCUUCUAUUUUUUUAUUAAGGAAAUAUUAAAUAUUUCUUUAUCUCUCCA